rnacentral:rRNA from 1 species
CAAUAGCGUAUAUUAAAGUUGUUGCAGUUAAAAAGCUCGUAGUUGGAUUUCUGAUCGAGACAUCAGGUCGGGUCCGAGAGGAUCAUGUACUUUGAUUUUGUUUUGAUCGUCCUUGGGGAGAGCAUUUCUGGCAUUCAGUUGUCGGGAUUGGGAUCCUCAUCGUUUACUGUGAAAAAAUUAGAGUGUUCAAAGCAGGCCUCGGCCUCUGAAUACAUUAGCAUGGAAUAAUAAGAUAGGACUUUGGUGGUCUAUUUUGUUGGUUUGCACGCCAAAGUAAUGAUUAAUAGGGAUAGUUGGGGGUAUUCGUAUUCAAUUGUCAGAGGUGAAAUUCUUGGAUUUAUGGAAGACGAACUACUGCGAAAGCAUUUACCAAGGAUGUUUUCAUUAA